rnacentral:rRNA from 1 species
UCCGUAGACUGUAUUGUAAGUUAUUUGUUAAAUCCUAAAGCCUAACUUUAGAAAAGCAUUUAAUACUACUAUACUUGAGUUUUUUGUCAGAAGAGUAGAAUUUCAUGUCGAGGAGUAACGACUGCAGACACAUGAAGGAAUAUCAGCAGCGAAGGCGGCUCUUUGGUAAAAACUGACGUUGAGGGACGAAAGUGUAGGUAGCAAACA